rnacentral:rRNA from 2 species
UGCCUCAGGACGAACGCUGGCGCGUGCCUAAUACAUGCAAGUCGAGCGGACAGAAGGGAGCUUGGCUCCCGGAUGUUAGCGGCGGACGGGUGAGUAACACGUGGGUAACCUGCCUGUAAGACUGGGAUAACUCCGGGAAACCGGAGCUAAUACCGGAUAGUUCCUUGAACCGCAUGGUUCAAGGAUGAAAGACGGUUUCGGCUGUCACUUACAGAUGGACCCGCGGCGCAUUAGCUAGUUGGUGGGGUAAUGGCUCACCAAGGCGACGAUGCGUAGCCGACCUGAGAGGGUGAUCGGCCACACUGGGACUGAGACACGGCCCAGACUCCUACGGGAGGCAGCAGUAGGGAAUCUUCCGCAAUGGACGAAAGUCUGACGGAGCAACGCCGCGUGAGUGAUGAAGGUUUUCGGAUCGUAAAGCUCUGUUGUUAGGGAAGAACAAGUGCGAGAGUAACUGCUCGCACCUUGACGGUACCUAACCAGAAAGCCACGGCUAACUACGUGCCAGCAGCCGCGGUAAUACGUAGGUGGCAAGCGUUGUCCGGAAUUAUUGGGCGUAAAGGGCUCGCAGGCGGUUUCUUAAGUCUGAUGUGAAAGCCCCCGGCUCAACCGGGGAGGGUCAUUGGAAACUGGGAAACUUGAGUGCAGAAGAGGAGAGUGGAAUUCCACGUGUAGCGGUGAAAUGCGUAGAGAUGUGGAGGAACACCAGUGGCGAAGGCGACUCUCUGGUCUGUAACUGACGCUGAGGAGCGAAAGCGUGGGGAGCAAACAGGAUUAG